UCGAUUAUAAAAUAGCCAGAUAUAGAGUACGACGCUUCACCGUAAGCACUUGCACCGACUGCAGUUCUGAGAUUCCGCGGAUGCGAUUUCUGGGUUCCGUUCCUGAGCGAGCGCCGUCGUUCGACUGUUCAAUGCUCGUCAGGUAUUCAAAAUAUCGGCCAUGACAUUGGCAAAGAAAAACUACGGCGAUUGUCGGCUGUCGCGACUGCGAGGUGCCCUAUAAAAAGGGUGCAUCUCAAUUAAAUGUUUGCCUUAAGGGAUGCUAGGCUGUAAGGGAAUUUUCGGGCCGAUAUCAACCCCUUUUGGGAUGAGCAAACUACGCACUUCUUCUUCGUUACAAUGCAGAUCGGAGUCCGAAAUAGUUUGUGGUAUGAAAAUGCGUUUCCCAAAACGCAAUUACCCAAUAACAGCACUUUGAAGGUAAGACCACGGGGCGUAUGGGCAACGCAGCAAACCACAAAACACCAAUUGGUUGAGCAUAAGAACUCCGAAUGUUUUUUAAUUAUGAAACUAAUUAAGACAAAUAGAACUGGCGGGGCACUAAUUGACUCACCCAGAGAUGCGA